rnacentral:rRNA from 1 species
GACGAACGCUGGCGGCGUGCUUAACACAUGCAAGUCGAACGGAAAGGCCCUGCUCUUGUGGGGUGCUCGAGUGGCGAACGGGUGAGUAACACGUGAGUAACCUGCCCUUGACUUUGGGAUAACUUCAGGAAACUGGGGCUAAUACCGGAUAGGAGCUCCUGCUGCAUGGUGGGGGUUGGAAAGUUUCGGCGGUUGGGGAUGGACUCGCGGCUUAUCAGCUUGUUGGUGGGGUAGUGGCUACCAAGGCUUUGACGGGUAGCCGGCCUGAGAGGGUGACCGGCCGCAUUGGGACUGAGAUACGGCCCAGACUCCUACGGGAGGCAGCAGUGGGGAAUAUUGCACAAUGGGCGGAAGCCUGAUGCAGCAACGCCGCGUGCGGGAUGACGGCCUUCGGGUUGUAAACCGCUUUCGCCUGUGACGAAGCGUGAGUGACGGUAAUGGGUAAAGAAGCACCGGCUAACUACGUG